rnacentral:snRNA from 1 species
GUAUGUAAGGGUGAUCUGGCUCCAACAUCUGUCACCCAUUGAUUGCCAAGGUUAAAUCAGCUGAUCAGGUUGGCUAGGCAAGUGUCCCCCCACCCCACACACACACUUCUCCAUGUGUGUCCUUCCCAAAGCUGUGAGCUUGGUUGAAGAGGAUGACCAACUCCAGUAGAGUUGUCCUUUGGUCAAGGAUAUGUAAGUAGCUGUGUUCCCAUGUUAGAACCUCCUAAAAAGCUCUCAAGGUCCUCUCAUUUCUUAGUUGCAUUCUACUUGGCAGAUGAAUGUGAUGCUUACAUUCUAUUCU